UUUUCCCAUUAACUUUCUUUCUAUUCCCCUUAUUUUCUAUCUCUUUCUCCCUCCCUAUCUUUUGUCUCUUCUUGCAGCUAGCUGCCACUAUCUCUGUUGUAUAUAUCACGCCCCGGGACCCGGCAGAGGCCCGCCCGGUGCGUGUCUAGACCCGCCAUAUGCCUACACAUAUAAAACGUCUAACAAUAAUAGUAUAUGAAAGCAAGGAAAAGACAUCUAGAGAUAUCAGAGCAUAAGC
rnacentral:lncRNA from 1 species